GACUGUUUUGAUGGCGACAGCCCAGAUGAAGGAGCAUGAGAAGGACCCCGAGAUGCUGGUGGACCUCCAGUAUAGCCUUGCAAACUCCUAUGCAAGUACCCCUGAGCUCCGGAGGACCUGGCUGGAAAGCAUGGCCAAGAUUCAUGCAAGAAAUGGAGACCUGUCUGAGGUGAUAAGCAAAGGCUCACUCGCUCUUCAUCAACAUUGCCUUCCUUAUCUGAAUAAUUUGGCUUUUAAUUUAUACUAUGUAGCAUAAAACGCACCAUAUUUUCCACCAAUAUAUAUCUAUAUAUCAAGUGCAGUUACUUUAUAUGUAGGGCUCAAUGACAUCUGAUUCUAUGUAGAGGACAUCAG
rnacentral:lncRNA from 1 species